rnacentral:rRNA from 1 species
ACGAACGCUGGCGGCGUGCCUAAUACAUGCAAGUCGAACGGUCUUUCUAUGGAAGCUUGCUUCCACUGAGAAGAUAGUGGCGAACGGGUGAGUAACACGUGGGUAACCUGCCCAUAAGAGGGGGGAUAACAUCCGGAAACGGGUGCUAAUACCGCAUAGUUUUCUUGAUCGCAUGAUUGAGAAAGGAAAGACGGCCUUUGUGCUGUCGCUUAUGGAUGGACCCGCGGCGUAUUAGUUAGUUGGUGAGGUAACGGCUCACCAAGACGAUGAUACGUAGCCGACCUGAGAGGGUGAUCGGCCACAUUGGGACUGAGACACGGCCCAAACUCCUACGGGAGGCAGCAGUAGGGAAUCUUCCGCAAUGGACGAAAGUCUGACGGAGCAACGCCGCGUGAGUGAAGAAGGUUUUCGGAAUCGUAAAACUCUGUUGUCAGAGAAGAACAAGUUGGAGAGUAACUGCUCCAGCCUUGACGGUAUCUGACCAGAAAGCCACGGCUAACUACGUGCCAGCAGCUGC